GAAAGCGUGGGGAGCAANCAGGAUUAGAUACCCUGGUAGUCCACGCCGUAAACGAUGAGUGCUAGGUGUUAGACCCUUUCCGGGGUUUAGUGCCGCAGCUAACGCAUUAAGCACUCCGCCUGGGGAGUACGACCGCAAGGUUGAAACUCAAAGGAAUUGACGGGGGCCCGCACAAGCGGUGGAGCAUGUGGUUUAAUUCGAAGCAACGCGAAGAACCUUACCAGGUCUUGACAUCCCUCUGACCGCUCUAGAGAUAGAGUUUUCCUUCGGGACAGAGGUGACAGGUGGUGCAUGGUUGUCGUCAGCUCGUGUCGUGAGAUGUUGGGUUAANNNNNGCAACGAGCGCAACCCCUAUUGUUAGUUGCCAUCAUUCAGUUGGGCACUCUAGCGAGACUGCCGGUAAUAAACCGGAGGAAGGUGGGGAUGACGUCGAAUCAUCUUGCCCCUUAUGACCUGGGCUACACACGUGCUACAAUGGCUGGUACAACGAGUCGCAAGCCGGUGACGGCAAGCUAAUCUCUUAAAGCCAGUCUCAGUUCGGAUUGUAGGCUGCAACUCGCCUACAUGAAGUCGGAAUCGCUAGUAAUCGCGGAUCAGCACGCCGCGGUGAAUACGUUCCCGGGCCUU
rnacentral:rRNA from 1 species